UUUUGCUUAAUAUGGUCAUAUUUUACAAUAUUCAACUCAUAAUUGUUGAUACUUCUGGUGGAUGAUGUUCAAUUUAUACAUAUAUAAAUUAUAAACAAACCAAAUUGAAGUACUAGAAACAAUAAGAGUAUCUGUUCCUGUGUAUGCCCAAGUUUCUGUUUUCCAAGAAGCAUAUUAAUUAAAUGAACAAAACUGUGUCCAAGAAAUAAUCUAUUGCAUAGAGGAUUUAAUGAAAACAAAAUUGGUGAUGCUGUAAUCACAAAGUUCCAUGCAGGAAUCAAUGGUUAUUGCUAAAAUAUGUUAUUGGUGUAUUGUCAAUUUUAUUUACUUAUAUAUUACGUUAUUUAAUCUCAAUAAUUUUAGGCUGGAAAUAAUAUACACUUUGGAACAAUUGAAGUAAAUAAAUGAAUUAAUAUAAUACAUACAUCAAGAAGUAAUGUAUAAUUUUGGAAAAAGCUGUAUUGAUCACUUUCGAAAAUCAUAAUUGUUU